rnacentral:lncRNA from 1 species
GUCCUCUCCCAAAAGGAAGCCACCACAGGCAAAUUGAAACCUUGUGCCUUCCUCUUGCGCAAACUGUCACCAGCAGGACAGAAUUAUGAUGUCGGGAACCGGGAACUACUCGCCAUCAAGCUGGCGCUGGAGGAAUGGCGUCACUGGUUGGAGGGAGCCGAGCAGCCGUUUAUCGUAUGGACCGACCACAAGAACCUGGCCUAUCUCCGCUCCGCCAAGAGGAUCAACUCUAGGCAAGCUCGCUGGUGUCUCUUUUUCGACCGCUUCGAUUUCACAGUCACUUACAGACCCGGAUCCCGUAAUGUCAAGCAUGACGCUCUCUCCCGGAAAUACAGCCCUUCUGAACACACCCCUUCCAAUAUCCUGCCGUCCACCUGCAUCAUCGGAGCCCUUACUUGGGAUAUCGAAAAUAAGGUACUCCAAGCCCUGAGUAACCUCAACGACCAUCCUCCUGUCCCCAGCGGCACCUUGUGCGUUCCGGCUGAACUGCGUUCAGAGGUCAUCACCUGGGGACAUACGUGCCGUUUAGCCUACCAUGGGGGAGUGCACCGGACCCUGAGUCUCAUCCGUAAGAGGUUCCAUUGGCCUGCCAUGGAAAAAGACGUGCGGGAGUACAUCGCAGCCUGCUCCACGUGUGCCCAGUCUAAAUCUUCAUCCUCUGCUCCAGCAGGUCUGCUCCAUCCCCUUCUUACUCCCAACUGCCCCUGGUCUGACUUGGCCAUGGAUUUCGUCACCCGUCUUCCCCAGUUACAUGGUAACGCAGUCAUCCUCACUGUUGUUGAUCGUUUUUCUAAGAUGGCUCAUUUCAUUCCCCUUCCUCAACUCCCUACAGCCACUGAGACGGCUAACCUUAUGGUCAACCACGUUUUUCGCCACCAUGGCAUCCCUGUUGACAUAGUCUCCGACCGUGGCCCCCAGUUCACUUCUCAGGUCUGGAAGGCCUUCUGUUCGGCCUUGGGGGCCAUGGUCAGUCUCACCUCCGGCUACCAUCCCCAGUCUAAUGGCCAAGUGGAGAGAGCGAACCAGGAACAGGAGGCAGCUCUCCGCUGUCUAGCGGCACAGAAUCAACAGGACU